AUUGAACGCUGGCGGCAGGCCUAACACAUGCAAGUCGAACGAGUGGCGGACGGGUGAGUAAUGUCUGGGAAACUGCCUGAUGGAGGGGGAUAACUACUGGAAAGGUAGCUAAUACCGCAUACUAUUGGAGCGACCGAUAUCGGAUUAGCUAGUUGGGGGGGUAACGGCUCACCAAGGCGACGAUCCGUAGCUGGUUGGAGAGGACGACCAGCCACACUGGGACUGAGACACGGCCCAGACUCCGACGGUAGGCAGCAGUGGUGAAUUGUGGACAAUGGGGGAAACCCUGAGCCAGCCAUCCCGCGUGGGCGAUGAAGGCCUUCUGGGUGUAAAGCACUUUUGGCAGGAAAGCGGUACCUGCAGAAUAAGCACCGGCUAACUACGUGCCAGCAGCCGCGGUAAUUC
rnacentral:rRNA from 1 species